rnacentral:rRNA from 1 species
GAUGAACGCUGGCGGCGUGCCUAAUACAUGCAAGUCGAGCGAACAGACGAGGAGCUUGCUCCUCUGACGUUAGCGGCGGACGGGUGAGUAACACGUGGAUAACCUACCUAUAAGACUGGGAUAACUUCGGGAAACCGGAGCUAAUACCGGAUAAUAUAUUGAACCGCAUGGUUCAAUAGUGAAAGACGGUUUUGCUGUCACUUAUAGAUGGAUCCGCGCCGCAUUAGCUAGUUGGUAAGGUAACGGCUUACCAAGGCAACGAUGCGUAGCCGACCUGAGAGGGUGGUCGGCCACCCUGGAACUGAGACACGGUCCAGACUCCUACGGGAGGCAGCAGUAGGGACUCUUCCGCAAUGGGCGAAAGCCUGACGGAGCAACGCCGCGUGAGUGAUGAAGGUCUUCGGAUCGUAAAACUCUGUUAUUAGGGAAGAACAAAUGUGUAAGUAACUAUGCACGUCUUGACGGUACCUAAUCAGAAAGCCACGGCUAACUACGUG